rnacentral:rRNA from 1 species
AUUGAACGCUGGCGGCAUGCUUUACACAUGCAAGUCGAACGGCAGCGCGGGCUUCGGCCUGGCGGCGAGUGGCGAACGGGUGAGUAAUACAUCGGAACGUGCCCAGUAGUGGGGGAUAGCUCGGCGAAAGCCGGAUUAAUACCGCAUACGACCUGAGGGUGAAAGCGGGGGAUCUUCGGACCUCGCGCUAUUGGAGCGGCCGAUGGCAGAUUAGCUAGUUGGUGGGGUAAAGGCCUACCAAGGCGACGAUCUGUAGCUGGUCUGAGAGGACGACCAGCCAAAAGGGGACGGGGAAACGGCCAAAACCACAGCGGGAGGCAGAAGGGGGAAAUUUUGGAAAAGGGGGGAAAGACUGAACCAGAAAGGCCGGGGUGGGGAGGAAGGCCUUCGGGUUGAAAAGCACUUUGGGGGGGAAAGAAAAGGACUGUGCAAAAAACACGGUUGGAGAACGGAACCCGCAAAAAAAGAACCGGCAAACUACG